rnacentral:snoRNA from 1 species
UUUAAAUGAUGAAAAACAAAAAUUUUCAGUUCUGCUUCUGAACCAAAAUUCUAUGAAGAUACUCAUUUACCAAAGCUCAAUAUCUGAUUU